GAUGAACGCUGGCGGCGUGCCUAAUACAUGCAAGUCGAGCGAACAGACGAGGAGCUUGCUCCUCUGACGUUAGCGGCGGACGGGUGAGUAACACGUGGAUAACCUACCUAUAAGACUGGGAUAACUUCGGGAAACCGGAGCUAAUACCGGAUAAUAUAUUGAACCGCAUGGUUCAAUAGUGAAAGACGGUUUUGCUGUCACUUAUAGAUGGAUCCGCGCCGCAUUAGCUAGUUGGUAAGGUAACGGGUUACCAAGGAAACGAGGCGUAGCCGACCUGAGAGGGUGAUCGGCCACACGGGAACUGAGACACGGUCCAGACUCCUACGGGAGGCAGCAGUAGGGAAUCUUCCGCAAUGGGCGAAUGCCUGACGGAGCAACGCCGCGUGAGUGAUGAAGGUCUUCGGAUCGUAAAACUCUGUUAUUAGGGAAGAACAAAUGUGUAAGUAACUAUGCACGUCUUGACGGUACCGAAUCAGAAAGCCACGGCUAACUACGUG
rnacentral:rRNA from 1 species